CAUCUAUCCCUUCAUGACCGGCGAAGCAGCAUGAAUUCAGGCGACAACCACGGGGCUCCGGUGAGGGUAUCUUGGCGACGGCACCGCCAUCUGCGGCGGCGGUGGUGGUGCCUCCAUCAGCCAACGACAAUACACCCCCCCUUUUCUUCUUCGUGAAUCUAGCAGCGGCGCCGCCAUGAGUGGCGGUAGAUAUGACUGUUCCGACAUGAUUUCCGGCGCCCCUUGUGUUAUGGUGAUGUCGUUUCUUUGGUGCUGAUGUCGCAAGGAUGAUGUCGAUGAAAGAUGGUGUUGUUGAAGCUCGGUUCGUUCAGCUUCGGUACGGGUUCAAGUGAAGAUGUUACAGAUUCGGGUAUGUUUGGUUAGAUCUAGCUGGGUUUUUGUUUAAUUCGGGUCUUUCGGAUUUUGGGUCCAAGUUAGAAGGCUGCAGAUUCACGGUUCGGUUCGGAUUUGAGAAGAUUCGGGACAGAAUGAUUCGGUUCUAAUUUAGUUCGGGUGCACGUCAGUUGUGGUUCGGGUUCGUGAAACGGGUCGACUCGGUGCAACACGGCUCGACCCGAUCAGCUCAUUAGUCAACUCGGUCAACACCCGAGUCAACUCGGGUCAACACCAGUCAACAGAAGUCAAGGAUAGUCAACUCAGACCCGGUAAAGUUAUAACGACGCGAAAUUUAGUUAGUUCGAUAUACGUUAGUCAGAUUUUUAGUUAGUUACGCGACCUUAUUUCCAUUUUGGUGCAUUUGACAAGAUUAUUACAUA